rnacentral:rRNA from 1 species
UGGGGAAUAUUGCACAAUGGGGGAAACCCUGAUGCAGCGACGCCGCGUGAGCGAAGAAGGUUUUCGAAUCGUAAAGCUCUGUCCUAUGGGAAGAUAAUGACGGUACCAUAGGAGGAAGCCCCGGCUAACUACGUGCCAGCAGCCGCGGUAAUACGUAGGGGGCAAGCGUUGUCCGGAAUCAUUGGGCGUAAAGGGUUCGCAGGCGGAAAUGCAAGUCAGUUGUAAAAGGCAGAGGCUCAACCUCUGUAAGCAAUUGAAACUGUAUUUCUUGAGAUGUGGGGAGGCAAGUGGAAUUCCUAGUGUAGCGGUGAAAUGCGUAGAUAUUAGGAAGAAUACCGGUGGCGAAGGCGACUUGCUGGACACAAACUGACGCUGAGGAACGAAAGCGUGGGUAGCAAACAGG